AGUGAACGCUGGCGGUAGGCUUAACACAUGCAAGUCGAACGGCAGAACAGUAAGAGCUUGCUCUUACGGUUGGGGAGUGUCGGACGGGUGAGGAGUACAUCGGCAUGUACUUAUUCGUGGGGGUUAACGUAGGGAAACUUACGAUAAUACCGCAUACGACGUACGGGUGAAAGCAGGGGAUCUUCGGACCUUGAGCGAUUCCAUGAGCCGAUGUCGGAUUAGCUAGUUGGCGGGGUAAAGGCCCACGAAGGCGACGCGACGUCGCGGGUCUGUGAGGAUGAUCAGCCACACUGGAACUGAGACACGGCCCAGACUCCUACGGUGGGCAGCAGUGGGGAAUAUUGGAGAAUGGGCGCAAGCCUGAUCCAGCCAUACCGCGGGAGUGAAGAAGGCCUUCGGGUUGUAGAACGCUGAUGUAGGGAAAGAAAAGCAGCAGGUUAAUACCCCGCGGUUAUGACGGUACCCAAAGAAUAAGCACCGGCUAACUUCGUG
rnacentral:rRNA from 1 species